AGUCAAGUGUGCACAGUGUUAGAGGUUUGCCAAGAACACAUCCUGGUGUUUGCCAAUGAGUGUCUGCUGGAGGAAGAACAUUCGAACAGAGAAUGUUCAGAGGUGAAAUGGAUCACCUUGGGAGGCAGGAAACUUGUCCCUAAGAAGAACUCUCCAAAUCUUGCUUGUCUUAGAACAAAGUCCUGUCCCCCAAACUGUUCGGUGAAGCCCUUUGAAAUAAAAGUAAAACCUAUUUUCUGUCGGAGCAAAAAAAAAAAGCCAUAUGGAACAUGUUAACCAAGAGGUGGUUCAGGAGGAAAGUAGAAAUCGGUUCAAGGGAAUUCCAAGAGGCUUUGAUGUUCUUGGCGUUGGAGAAGCAACAAUGACAGAUCAAUAAAUGAAGCCAGAGUAUGUGGACAAGACAGAACUCCUCAAGCCAGUAGGGGGCGAUAUCGCCUGUCUCUGAAUCUCUGAAAAGUUCUCAGGCCCCAUCAUUCCUAGUGGCUGACAGAGCCCUGUCAGGCUCGGAGAUGGAAGACUGAAUGCGGUUUUUACAGAGCUCCCAGGCCACUGAGUGACAGAUGGGCAAACUACUGUCACAAAAGACUGAACUCCACCUCCCAGCUCCUCUGCAGGUAAGCAGGACCAUCUAUGUGAAUUCCAGUCAAUGAAAAAUGAGUGGAAGUGAUGUACACCACCUCCAAAUAUCCCAGAAGCUUUUUCUCUUCGCUCUUGGCUGAAUGCAGAGGGUAGAAUGGACAACCCCAAGCAGAUCUUAGGGGAUGGUGAAUUAGAAGGAGCUUGGAUUUUGAAUAACCGAGUGAAAGACCACCCACCAAACACCUGACUGGCUUUGACAAGAAAGAGGAAUAAACUUUUAUUGUCUGCAGUCACUGAGAUGUGGGGUAGAGUGCUCUCGCAGCGAGAAUGACUUACCCUCAUGGAUGACCUGUUCUUAGUUCCGGGAAUAGGUUAAGGUGCAUCCAUCCUACUUCUCCCAUGCUGUUCCCUCUGCUUGGAAUGCUUUUCCCAAUCAUCCCUCACAUGCUUAUCUCUUUAGCUUUUAGGUCUUCAUUUAAAGGUCACCACCCAACUGUUAGACUAUAUCUAUGUUCUUAUCUAUUUUUAUAACACCUUUUACAACAUGUGUAUGUGUGUGUGCUUAUAAUUUGGUUUUUUUCUCAUUGCGUUUCCCCUAAAAUGUAAGCCCCCAAGGGCAUGAAUCAAAUCUGUCUCAGUCCCCUUUGUAUAUCCUGUGCCAAACAAGGUGUCUGACAAAUGUAAUCAUUUAACAACUAUUAGCUGAUGGAUUAAAUGAA